rnacentral:rRNA from 1 species
UACGGGGGGGGGCAAGCGUUGUUCGGAAUUACUGGGCGUAAAGGGCUCGUAGGCGGCCAACUAAGUCGGACGUGAAAUCCCUCGGCUUAACCGGGGAACUGCGUCCGAUACUGGAUGGCUUGAGUUCGGGAGAGGGAUGCGGAAUUCCAGGUGUAGCGGUGAAAUGCGUAGAUAUCUGGAGGAACACCGGUGGCGAAGGCGGCAUCCUGGACCGACACUGACGCUGAGGAGCGAAAGCCAGGGGGAGCAAACGGG